GGCCGCCUAGCUCAGUCGGUUAGAGCGUGGUGCUAAUACUGGGACUGUACUACAGACCGGGAAAACGCCAAGGUCGUCAGUUCGACCCUGGCGGUGGCCA